AAAACAUGUCUCAUUUGUUAAAAACUCCCAACUUUUUAUGGGCAUUUGUGGUUUGUGUUCUUCUUUCUUGUGAGUUGACUUGUGGGUAUGACACUGGUGGUGGCAUUGUUGAGGGGAAGUUGAAUGUUCAUUUGGUUCCACAUUCACAUGAUGAUGUGGGUUGGUUGAAGACAAUUGAUCAGUACUUUAUUGGAUCAAAUAACAGUAUACAGGUUGCCUGUGUUGAAAAUGUGCUCGAUUCGGUUGUUAUGUCCCUGCUCCGUGAUCCAAACAGGAAAUUCAUAUUUGCUGAAAUGGCCUUUUUCAGAAGAUGGUGGCUAAUUCAAAGUGAGGGGAUCAAAGAUCAAGUGAAAAAGCUCGUUUCUACAGGCCAAUUAGAAUUCGUAAACGGAGGCUGGUGCAUGCAUGAUGAAGCAGCUACACACUACAUAGACAUGAUCGAUCAAACGACUUUGGGCCAUGAUUUAAUAAAGUCUAACUUCAACGUAACUCCUCGGGCUGGUUGGCAGAUUGAUCCGUUUGGGCAUUCUGCCGUUCAAGCUUAUCUUUUAGGAGCAGAGCUCGGGUUUGAUUCACUACAUUUUGCACGGAUUGAUUAUCAAGAUAGAGCAAAACGGAAGGGUGAUAAAAGUCUUGAAGUCGUAUGGCGUGGCUCAAAAACAUUCGGUUCAUCAUCUCAGAUAUUCACCAAUGUGUUUCCGAGACACUAUAGUCCCCCCGAUGGAUUUAAUUUUGAAGUUAGCGGAGUUUUUGAGCCCGUUCAGGACGAACCUCUUCUCUUUGAUAUGAAUGUUGAGAAACGAGUUAAUGAUUUCAUUAACGCUUCAGUCUUCCAAGCAAAUGUAACAAGGACAAAUCAUAUUAUGUGGACAAUGGGAGAGGACUUCAAAUACCAAUAUGCGGAAUCUUGGUUUAAGCAGAUGGACAAACUAAUUCACUAUGUUAACAUGGAUGGUCGAGUAAAUGCGUUAUAUUCCACUCCAUCUAUAUACACAGAUGCAAAACUUGCUUCAAAUAUAUCUUGGCCACUCAAAACUCAUGAUUAUUUCCCAUACGCGAAUAAUGGAGAUUCUUACUGGACGGGUUAUUUUACAAGUCGCCCUGCCUUCAAAGGAUACGUACGAUCAUUGAGCGGAUAUUAUUUGGCAUCAAGGCAGCUUGAGUUUUUGGUUGGAAGGCGAAAUAACGGUCCGAACACUUUGAGUCUUGGGGAUGCUUUAGGAAUUGCGCAACAUCAUGAUGCUGUUUCCGGUACUGCUAAACAACAUACAACAAAUGACUACCAAAAACGCUUAGCAAUUGGAGCUCUCGAGGCUGAGGCUGUUGUCAAUUCAGCUUUAUCAUGCCUAACAAGUUCUACAAGUAACUGCACCAUAUCCACAUCCACAUUUAGCCAGUGUCCGCUGCUCAAUAUAAGUUUUUGCCCACCGGUCGAAAACAUUCCUUCUGGGAAGAGUUUGGUUAUUGUCGCGUAUAACGCUCUUGGAUGGAAUCGCACGGAUGUUAUCAGGAUCCCUGUCAAAGAUGCUAACUUUGUCGUCCAAGACAACGAGGGCAAUACGGUUGAAGCCCAAUUCAUAGAAUUUGAUAACAUAACAAGCAACCUAAGAAGCUUUUACACAGAGGCUUAUUUAGGAAUUUCACCUAAAGACGUUCCGAAAUAUUGGCUUUUGUUUCAAGCAUCUGUGCCACCGUUGGGUUGGAACACUUACUUUGUUACCCAAACACCUGGAAAAGGUACCUUUACGGCUGUUUCGGUGGCAGAUCAUACGCCACAAAAUGACACUAUUGAAAUCGGACCGGGAAGUUUGAAGAUGUUGUUUUCAUUGCAGUCUGGACAACUAAAAAGAAUUAUUAAUUCUAGAACCAGUAUUGAUUUACCGAUACAACAAAGCUAUCUUUGGUAUGGUAGUGGAGCGGGUAACCAGCCUUCCGGAGCAUACAUUUUCCACCCGAGUGACUCACCACCAGUUAUUGUUUCAAGAUCAGUACCUGUUAAAGUCAUUCGUGGACCGCUCGUUGAAGAGGUUCACCAACAAUUCAACCCGUGGAUCUAUCAGGUGACAAGACUAUACAAAGACAAAGAGCAUGCUGAAUUUGAGUUCACUAUCGGUCCAAUUCCGACGGAUGACGGUGUUGCAAAAGAAGUGAUUACAAGAAUUACAGCUGAUAUGGUCACCGACAAGCUGUUCUAUACCGAUUCUAACGGAAGAGACUUCCUCAAAAGAGUACGGGAUUACAGAGAAGACUGGCCGCUUGAAGUCACUCAACCCGUUGCCGGGAAUUAUUACCCGCUUAAUCUUGGGAUGUUUACAACAGACAACAAAACUGAGUUGUCGAUUCUUGUUGAUCGGGCUACUGGCGGAGCUAGCCUCAGUAACGGGCAAAUGGAGAUUAUGUUUCAUAGGUAUCUUCAAUUAGACCUCUUCAUUUAAAUCUCCAUCUAGGGAGGUGUUGUUCACGUCAAGUUGAUUGAUGGUCUAGUUUUUCUUGACUGUCACGGCUAGAAGAGUUCUAAUAGUGACAAGUUUCGCAACAGGGGCGAAGGUGCCGUGGUAAUCGACUCCCUCCAUUUGGGUGAAGCCCUUUGCUACUAGACGUUCUUUGUAUCGCUCAGCUUCUCCAUUUGGCCUAUAUUUCACCUUAUAAACCCACUUUGAAUCUAUAACACGUAUUCCUUCUGGUGAGCUUUUGAGGGUCCACGUACCAUUUUCUUCAAAAGCACGGAUCUCUUUUUUCAUGGCCUCUUUCCACCUUUCAUCCUGCAUAGCUUGGUUAAAGUUCAUUGGCUCAUCAUUGGAAUUGAUGGCCGCUAAAAAGGCGUUGUGAGAACUAGAAAAUUUUUCAUGUGAAACAAAAUUGGACAAAGGAUGUAGUGUUGAGGAUUCUUGACUUGGUGCGGUUUGUACAGGAUAGACAUAUGGGGGAAGCUUUACAACAAAAUCGUUUAAUCGAGCAGGCGUAUGUUGUAUGAUGAUCAUAGAGGAGUGGGUGAAGCCCUUGACGAGAUUGUGUGUAGUAAUAGCACCUGUCAAGGACUUACGAUUCGAGGAAAUUAUUAUAUGAGUAUUGACCACAAUGGUAACGGAUCACGGUGGCGUAGAACAACGGGCCAAGAGAUUUAUUCACCUCUCCUCCUAGCCUUUACACAUGAGACUCAAGAUGAUUAUAAAGCUUCACACUCAACAAGGUCAACAACAAUGGAUCCGGACUAUAGUUUGCCCCCUAACGUUGCGUUAAUUACACUUCAGGAAUUGGAGGACGGAAGUGUGCUUCUUCGGUUAGCCCAUCUGUACGAGGCUGGUGAAGAUGUCGACUUUUCGACCUUAGUCAAAGUGGAACUGAAGAAAAUGUUUGCUGCAAAAUCGAUCAAGACGAUUAAAGAAACAAGCUUAUCUGCAAAUCAAGACAAGUCGGCGAUGAAGAGGAUGCCAUGGAAGGUUGAAGGCGGAAGUGGGAGCGAACCACCAACUGUUAGAGGUGGACCCAUUGACCCUUCGGCUCUUGUUGUCGAGUUGGGUCCUAUGGAGAUUCGUACUUUCAUAUUACAAGUUUGAUUUUACGUGUUCUUGAAGUAUACUCUAUUGGAAUGCUUAGGUGAUUAGUUCAUGUUGAGAAUGAUGUUAAAGGUUAUGAAUUUAAAAUAUACAUCUAUGCAUCUUAUAAUUUA